rnacentral:lncRNA from 1 species
GGUAGCCGAGCUGCUGUGAUGUCAUUCAAAUGUUUCUUAUCUCUAAGUCUUCUUUCUUCAGCAGUCAUUGGAGAGCCAGACCGCCCCGGAGACUGACUGGGUGAGGAACCACGCGAUGAUCCACUCUGCUCUCCUGAUAAUGCGUUUGUUUUGAAUUUGCUUUUUUUUAUGACAGGGUUUUUUGCUCUGGACUCCAGAACUUCAAUAUAAUGCGGUGUCCUGGGGUGCAGGCUUCCAAAAACAUUGCCCUUAUGUUUUGGCACAUUCUGCUCUUUUUCCAGUACUUUUUCACUGUUAUCCCCAUCUCCGAUGGUGACUUUUUGAAAGGCAUCAACCAAUGUGUCCUUACAGUUGUCUAAAGCACUUUCUGUACCACCCUCAGUAUUGUUCCGGGAGAUCUGCUGUUCACUGUUCAGGUGACUGCUUGGGGCCGAUUCAGUGAUAGCUUCACAGAGAUUCCGAUCUUCUGUAACAGUCUUUAUUUCAUCAUUUCUGCUCCGAGUCCUCUGAUGUUCCAAAGCCGUACUUGUGGGCUCUUGCCCCAGACAUUCUCCCCCCUGUCCUUGGGAAGCAGUCUUAGGAACUUCAGCACGCGAACCGUCACUGAGGACUGCAGGCUCCUUCUGGUGCAGCGUGUGCUCGCUGAGGGCGAGGCGCUGUUUCCCGGUACGAGCCUUGUCCUGUUCUGCCUGGAACUCCAGCCUGACCGCGGACAACAGCUCUGCAGUCCGUGCCACCUCUUCCUCUUGUGAGAUGGCACACAUCAGCUUCUCGGCGAAAUCGGAGAUCUUCUUGCCCUUGUCUGGGAGCUUAUCGAUGAACUUCCGGUCCGCCAGCAGCCGCUCCUGCCGCCUCAGCAUCUCCCGCAGCUCGGGGAGGCUCCGGCCCCGCAGGGAGCCCGCCGCCGCCAUGCCGCCCCGACCCCAAGCCGCCUCUCCGCGGGGCGGCCGCGCGGGCCCGGCGCCACCGGCACCGCUUCCGCAGCCGCGCGGGGGCCGCCAUCUUACCGGAAGUGACGGCGGCCGCCGGGGCCCGGCGGAGGGGCGCUGCGGAGGACUGCCGGGGGGCGGUGGGGACAGCCGCGCAGGUGCGGCGCUGAGGGGCGCGCUUAGCGGCCGUGCCCGUCUCAGUGCUCGUCUCCAGCCUCAACGGCUCUGUGAUUGCCGGGUGUCUGAGGAGCCUCUAGCAGAGUCCAGAUUCCUGCCGAGGACUGAGCGCUCAGCUUUCCAGACAUUCGUUGCAGUUUCUCUUUUCACCCCGCACUGACGUUUACACGUGCUGAAUAGAGACCGAACGCAGACCUUAGCGCAGAGCGGGCGCGCUCGCUUCCAGCCUUCGUGGCCACAUAGGCGCUGAGCGCGCUGCUGAGCGCUGCCCGGUAGGGCCCGAGCCGCGUGCGCGCUGCGGGGAGCAGCCCGGUCCCGUGGUGCACGUAAUGGGGAAGAGCUGGAUGUCUCGGGCCGUUAAAGCAGUUGCUGUACGAGCAGGACGGCCGGCCGGCCCGCCCUGCAGGGCCGCAGGAGGAAGCGCGUUGAGAUGGCUGCGUGCCCCUCUGUUUGUGCAGCUGGGAGGGCUGAGGGAAGUGAGAGGAGCCAGGUGGGCAGCUGCAUGGAAAAAUAGCGUGCAGGGGUGCCCGGCUGCAGGGACCACCGCACUGCCUGUUAUGUGCAACUGGGAUCGUUUCCCAUGGGAAAUCCCUCAGGAAAGUUUUCUCAAGAGUUCAGGAAAGAGGAAAACGCCUUUUUUGUUGCUGGGAGAUCACUUAAUGUUGUCAAACACAGUUUUGUGAAUUGUAAUGCUGUCUUGUGCUGGCUGCCACUUGCAAGAAGGAAUGCUGUAACUCAACUUUUAGCCUCUUUCUCCUGCGCAGAUCGGAGAAAAUAGAAAGUUGGGCUUGGAAACUGAUUCUGCCUCUGUGUGAGUGAGUGUAAAAGGAAUGAUCUCACCAGUCUGCUGCUCUGCACCUCGGUGAUGAUGGCUCAUCUCGGUCCAACUGCUGUAACUACACGUGCAGAAAAGUAAUCCUGGUGAGUUUCAGCCUAUCUCCUCACCUGUACAAACACAGAGAAAUGGAACAAAAGAUGAAGAGAAUGAAGUGUUCUAAUAACAUGACUGCUGGGAGUCAUGGCUAAUAGUUCUGUAUCCUCACUUGGAACCCCAGGCCUCUUUUGUCCCAGGUCACUGGGAAGUAGCAUUGUUCAUCUUUACAUUUCAUGGGAGUUAAGUUUUGGAAUACCAUAAUCUGUUUUUGAUGGCACACAGUUCCAUAAUGAUGAACUAAUGGCUAACAUUUGACAGGUGCUAGAAUGAAAGUUUUCUUGUUUAUGAAACAAGGGGCAGCAUCUAGAUGCAAUGCAAUCAAGAUACCAUCAAUUUGGAUACAAAUGCCAGGAAGGAAAAGUAGAUGGAUGCUUUCUCAGUCAAAGAGAAGCUCUUGUGGAACUGAGGAAAAAUUACAAACUUCAGCCUUGUUUGUCCUGGAGAAGAAAAAUCCUUACUAGCCACACUCUGAAUGUGAGUAAUCACCAUGCAGCAGGAGCUAGUACAAGAUUAGCCUUGGGACUUUGCUCUUUUCCUGUGGGAAACUGAUACAUUGCCACUAUUCGCAGUACUCAGCAACAUCUUUUUGUUCAGACCUUACGUGGCCUUUUGAUUUUAGGCUUUAUUUUGUAUCAUUUAUCCCAACAGUUGAUCAACACUCAUGUGAGCUAAGUAUAUUAAAAAACUGCGUUGUUUGUUUUUCAUUAAUUAUUUCUUAUGUAAUAGUGUGGUGUUAGGACGUUACUUCAAGAGCUCUUAUUAGGCACUGUUUUCAGUCUCUUUUCUGUCACAUACUUAGAACUGAAUUUAUUCUACAAUAGCAUGCCUGUAAUUAGUAUGCAAUUUAAUGCUACAUCUAUGAGAAAGUUAAAUUAUUAGAAUAGCAAUGAAGAAAAUCAAGUAUAUGAAGAAAAGAAUAAACUAUGUGAAGAAAGCACAAAAUGGGUAUUCCAGCCAGAUGGCAUUUUGAGGGAGGUAGCCAUGACUUUUUUUACAGGUGGGAAAACUUCCUGUCAGAAAUACACAGGUCUACCCAAAACUGGUAUUAAAGCGAACGCUACCAAGAGUGUUACCUUAUCUGUUAAGGGUAUCAUUUUCAUUGUCCUUCUAUCUCCCAUUUUAAUAAAUAGAUAAUUGUUUUCUUCACUAAGAAAAGGAAAUUUAAGAAAUGAGGCUCUGGUGGGAGAAAACCUACUUUCUGUUUCCCUGCUCCUAGGUGGAAAUACUGGCAGGGCAGGCAAACUGGAAUCAAGCCACACGUACAAAAUAAACCACUCCUGAAAUAACAGAAAAAAAAAUUGUAUGAAUAUUUAGGACUAAAAUGAUUUGUUUUCGUUUCAUUUUAAAAAAUAAAUUACUGUAAUGACAUAUCAUAAUGAUUUAUCUUCUAUAACCUCAUUUCUGUAAAACACAGCAAACAAACAAAACCUACGGGCUUCUAUACAUUUUUUAGUGCACCAGGUCCCUUUUACAUUGGGGAGUUUUCCCAUACCUCAAGUUGUAGAUGACUGCCACAACCUUGUCUUUUUCUGCAUUUCUUCCCUGUUGUGGUGCUGAAGCUUAGGGUUGCAAGGGCCUUAGACUCAUCAGGACUCUUCUUUUACAAGUGUAAAUAGCUCCAAGAGCUGAAUAGGAAGGAAAUAGGAUACAAGUGGAAUGAAACUGUCAGUGUGUGUCUCCAUUCUGCGGAGCAAGUAUUUUCUGUACAGAAUUACACACUUACUUCACACAAUACUUCUUACCUGUUUGCUUAUUUAUCCAUGUCUAAAAGUCUCCAGAUGUCAAAAUGAGGAUUCAAAGCGUCUCUCAAAAACUUGAGAAUGCAACUCACAGAACCCUAUUUUGUAGUUCCACCACUGAGCAUGAUCUCAGUAGGAUUUUAUGAUGUACUUUUGGCAGCCUCUGCUGAAGAGACAUAUGCGGGAAGAUUAAUGAGGUAAAAGCUUCACAUUCUACAGCUGAGCAUUGCAAACCACUAACACUGUAAUUGUCACGUUUGGAAAAACUCUUUGUAAUGAGUUGACGUGGAAGAUAAAUUGCUAUUAUCAGUGAGUGGAUAUGAACUUUAAAAACAACAAGAACAUCAAAACACUGGGCCACAUUCAUCCCAAUUUCAUUCUUCUGAAAGCUGGAGGGCAACAUCCCAGCUGCAGUCAGGUGUUAUCUGUGGGAACUGAUUUUACUCAUUUAUUUGCAAGUGAGAGUGUUAUUGCCCACGUCUUGUUUAUCCUCUGCAAGUCAGUAGCUCUUUAUUCUACAAAAGAGUUCAUCUACUUUUGCUACUUGGCUUUGAAGGGAGCCUUUAGUCUUUAGCUAGGGAGUGUCUUCCUGUUCUCAAGAGCACAUCUGCCAAAGGAAAUACUGACAGGGAUUCCAGGCUGCAGAGAACCACUUUUGCAUUCGUACAUGUUUUGAACAAACAAGAUUACGCAGAGUAAAACUUGCAAGGCUUUUAGGUAAGUUUAUUUCUGAAUAUUUACACAACAGAAUAGAAAUUUUAAAUAGAAUAUUUAUUACGGUUUAUCCUUUUCAAGUCUUACAUACAGGCUGUUUUAAAAGCAUACAAUGUAAUUGCACUAUUUACACAGCAUAUAUGAAAACUGUAUCCCAAAAUACUUUCCAGAAGAUCUGGAAUAAAUCACAGAAUAACACUUACCAUGGUACAAAUGAAGUCAUAUAAUUGACUUAUAUUUAAUGCACUUCCUGGGACCUACCUACAUGGCUUUUAUUGAUGUUUACAGAAAUUUUACUAGUUUCUAAUGUUAUACUACUAAGCAUUUCAAUCUCAAUUUGACAAAACUUGUACUGAAGUGUUAAAAUCUUUUCAGCCAGAUUUGUUAUUAUCUCUGCUAAUUUACAUUGCUAUUGAUUUGACUGGAAAGCUCUAUAUUUUCAUGUAACACAGUUAUAUAAAUACUGUUCCUCACCUGCUCUUCACAGCUACCAAAUUUAGACCAGUAGUUCAAUCAAAUAAUGGCCAUCCAAUGCACUGAAUAUCAAAAUACAAUACAGCAUAAAUAGAAUUUACAUGGAAAACUUGUGCGGGAAAUACUUCUGCAGUCUGGGUGCAGUUUUGAGCAGAUGAUCACCAUUUUGCAAGUCUCAAAGCUGAAGUAUUUUCAGAGAUAUUCCCAGAAAUAUGUUCGAAGCACAAGGAAGUUCCUUUUGAAGUCUGUAUCAAAACCUUCUGUUACUUCAUCCUGCUCUCUACUACUACAGUCAGAGCAUUUAUUUAUAAGACUCUGUUUUCUGAAUUCUGGCUCAAACCAGACAGAUCAAUGAAGUGUUUUUACUUAAUUAAACUUUAUGAUUAAUGUAUUUCACAACGACUUGCAUUUCCUUUUACCUGUAAAUAAAACCUGCAUCAGUUAAUCUGAUUUUGAACGUAACUCACCAAUCACAGUUCAUAAAUUCAAUCCUGAAACCAGACUGUUUGGGCGCAUAAAAUGGUAACAGACUGAUGAUGGACUGAGGCUGCACCAAUAAUGCAUAUUAGUGUGGCCAGCUGGGGUAGCCUUCAGUAUUUUUCUCUCCAAACCAUAUCGUCCACAUAACAGCUAAUAAUUUUUGCUGCUAUGGGCCACUAGAGGGAGAUAUGAUUACACACAUAUAAAACUUGUGCCUGAAAUUCGGGUUGGGCCAUUACCCAUCAUCUUUUGGGUUCAUCAGUAAACACUUCCAUUUAAAAUGGUUUUGUAUUUAGAGUUCCACUUCAAGAUCUUCACUGUACACAACCUAAUUCAUUAGUUAUUGAUCAAAUUAACUGUUGCUUGGGAACUCAAUCUCCCAAACACACUCAAUCAUCAAAACUUCAAUCAAGAACACUCUAUUUGGGAUUAAGGCUACAGCUUCUCCACGUGUCAGCUGUUUUCUCAUCUUUGAUAUUCCAGUAUUUGGUAUUCCUCUGCUUUGCACAAUGAGAGUGCUUUGUCUGGAAGACCUUUUGUAGGGAGCAGAAUUCUUGAUGCUCAGCGACCUCCCUUUCAAGCCCUUUCCCACUUGAGAGGUAUUACACCUCUCCUCUGGGAGAAGCAACUUAAGUAAAUGUGUGUUACAAUUUCUGUUCACUAAGGCAACAGCUGUCUUCUUUUCCCUUUUGAUAUCUAGGAGAUAUUAUUCACUCCAUCACAUGCAAACUAAACAGUUUCCGUUUAGAGCUAUUAAGUUAACUUGGUAAAAUUCUGAGUUUUUCUUUUUAAAAGUAAUACUGAGCAACAGUUUAUGUUUGUGACUUCUAUCCCAAUAAAGAUUACAGCCUUACCUCAACAGUAGAUAGAUUACAUUUUUGUCAAUGGCUCUGACUGCAGUGUUUCUUGAACUUUAUGCAUAAUAUAAUCCACAAUACUGCAUCUGACUUUUUAGAAAGAAUGACCAUUUUAAGUUCUCAAGAGCUGAUCAGGUCAUAAGGAAAAAAAUAGCUUACAUGCAAAUGGAUGAUGAUCCAAGCAUAAAAGCUGGAGAAGGUUGAGUUUCCCAUUUUAUUUUGCUUUUGCUUUAAUUACACCAAGCAACUUGUGUUCCUGUGAUGUACUUGUACUGCAUCAAAACAUCCUCCACUCCAUCCUCCAGUACAGGCUUCUUUACUUAAUAGUUAAACAGCACAGUUACAGAAUAAACAAAGUUUUCUAGCAAGUUAAGAAAACCAUGAAAGAAUUCAUAAAUAAGAUUGGGAGUAUGAGUUAAAUAUUAUUAUUUUAAAUACAACUUUGAGUAUAUUAAUUGAACAGAAAGUACUGAAUUUAAGAACUUGCAUUAGACUGGAGACAAAAGCAAUCACUUUAUGCAGUCCUGUGGCAAGGUGAACACCUCCUGGGGUUCACAUUCAGUACAAGAAUUAUACAAAACAACUUGUUUGUUUUCUAUAGCAGUUGCUGUAAUAGAAAAAACUUGCCACAUAUUGAUAUUAACAGGACUACAAGAAAACAAUAAACUUGUUAAUUUCAAUAAAACUGGGAGAUGAAAAUAAAAUGUAAAAACUAAGACUAUAUAAAUAAAUUCAGUAGUUAGAUGCAGGCAUUCUUCUGGUACUCUGAAGUUGGGGAUCAGAUUUUAAGUGUUUGCAGGGAAUGAAAUCAUAUUCAAAAUCAAAAUAAUCGCUCAGGAUAGUUAUUGAUGUGGGAAUGGCAGGAACUGCAGAAGGUCACUGUAGGCAAAAUGCUGUUCAGUGAGAAUUCCUUCCUGUAAUGCAAAAGUAAUUUUAAAAAAGCAACGGGGAUUUUCCUACCCAGUCACUAGUGAAUGUGUCACCAAUGGUCUCUCUGCCCUGUGACUAGGAAGUACAAACUGCAUAUUCAUCCAACAAAGCAAAAUCCAUCAUAAAGCUGCUAUAUUGCUUAAUAUUUUGAGCAACAAACACAACAUUCAUCUGCACGCGUAGAGGGAAUUUCCUGAGAAGAUCCCAGUUGCAUUUCUCCCUCUCAGUAAGAGAAUGCUGGCUCCUAGUCACCUUGUUCUGUGUGAAUGGGGCCCUCAGUCACCGCAGGUCUCUAUGGUAAGUAUGAACAGCUCUCAAUCUCUGUACACAAAGGAGGAGCUUUGAGAUUAAU